UUACAAAUCAUCCGGAGAUCUUGUUAAAAUGCACACUCUGAUUCAGCAGGUCUAGCACUAGGCCUGAGAUUCUGCAUUUCUAACAAGUUCCCAGAUGACACCAAC
rnacentral:pre_miRNA from 2 species